AUUGAACGCUGGCGGCAGGCCUAACACAUGCAAGUCGAGCGAGCGGCGGACGGGUGAGUAAUGUAUGGGGAACUGCCUGAUAGAGGGGGAUAACUACUGGAAACGGUAGCUAAUACCGCAUACCAUCGGAUGUGCCCAGAUGGGAUUAGCUAGUAGGUGUGGUAACGGCUCACCUAGGCGACGAUCCCUAGCUGGUAUGAGAGGAUGACCAGCCACACGGGAACUGAGACACGGCCCAGACUCCUACGGGAGGCAGCAGUGGGGAAUAUUGCACAAUGGGCGAAAGUCUGACACAGCCAUGCCGCGUGUGUGAAGAAGGUUUUCGGGUUGUAAAGCUCUGUCGGCGGGGAGGCGUUACCCACACAAGAAGCCCCGGCUAACUCCGUGCCAGCCGCCGCGGUAAUAC
rnacentral:rRNA from 1 species